rnacentral:rRNA from 1 species
UACGUAGGGUGCAAGCGUUGUCCGGAAUCAUUGGGCGUAAAGAGCUCGUAGGCGGUCUGUCGCGUCUGCUGUGAAAACCCGGGGCUCAACUUCGGGCUUGCGGUCGAUACGGGCGGGCUAGAGUUCGGUAGGGGAGACUGGAAUUCCUGGUGUAGCGGUGAAAUGCGCAGAUAUCAGGAGGAACACCGGUGGCGAAGGCGGGUCUCUGGGCCGAUACUGACGCUGAGGAGCGAAAGCGUGGGGAGCGAACAGG